UUAAUUGAAGAGUUUGAUCAUGGCUCAGAUUGAACGCUGGCGGCAGGCCUAACACAUGCAAGUCGAACGGUAACAGGGAGCAGCUUGCUACUUUGCCGGCGAGCGGCGGACGGGUGAGUAAUGUCUGGGGAUCUGCCUGAUGGAGGGGGAUAACUACUGGAAACGGUAGCUAAUACCGCAUAACGUCGCAAGACCAAAGCGGGGGACCUUCGGGCCUCGCGCCAUCAGGUGAACCCAGGUGGGAUUAGCUAGUAGG
rnacentral:rRNA from 1 species